AGGUAUCCCAAGCCCAAUGGACCC
rnacentral:siRNA from 1 species